rnacentral:rRNA from 1 species
CACGUAGGGUGCGAGCGUUGUCCGGAAUUAUUGGGCGUAAAGAGCUCGUAGGCGGUGUGUCGCGUCGGCCGUGAAAACCUGCAGCUUAACUGUGGGCUUGCGGUCGAUACGGGCAUCACUGGAGUUCGGCAGGGGAGACUGGAAUUCCCGGUGUAGCGGUGAAAUGCGCAGAUAUCAGGAGGAACACCGGUGGCGAAGGCGGGUCUCUGGGCCGAAAUUGACGCUGAGGAGCGAAAGCGUGGGGAGCAAACAGG